UACGUAGGUGGCAAGCGUUGUCCGGAUUUACUGGGCGUAAAGAGCGCGCAGGCGGUUGAUUAAGUCGAAUGUGAAAGCCCCCGGCUCGACUGGGGAGGGUCAUUCGAUACUGGUCGACUUGAAGGCAGGAGAGGGUAGUGGAAUUCCCGGUGUAGUGGUGAAAUGCGUAGAUAUCGGGAGGAACACCAGUGGCGAAGGGCGGCUCUCUGGGCCUUACCUGACGCUGAGGAGCGAAAAGCGUGGGUAGCGAACAGG
rnacentral:rRNA from 1 species